rnacentral:lncRNA from 1 species
CUCCGUCUCAAAAACAAACAAAUAAAACAUUUGAUGAUGUUUGUUUAUUGUGGUUUAUUCUUUUAAAUGAAUUUCUCUCCAAUCUGUUUUUUAGCUUUCUUGUAAGUAACAGAAUUUGGUAUUUUAUGUUCCAAAUUGUGCACUUGGCCCAGUUGUAGUGGUUAUGAUGAGGUGUGUGUGUGCGUGUGUGUUAACAUUGCAACAACAUAGGUAAGGUUCCUCCUAAAACUUGCUGGCUUGGGACCAGCCUUGAGUAGAGUUUAUGGCUACCUGUAUAAAAUGAAGUUAUUGAAAAUAAAAUGUAUAGAAACAAUUUUUUCUUUUAAAUGUAGGCUACUACACUUGUGGAUGUUUAUUAUUAAUCUUUCCCCCAUAAUGGAAGCAGUGUUUGGCUAUGGGCCAAAAUGAUUAACACAGUGGUACACAGUAAAUUGAAUAUUAGAGAGUCAAAAGCCAGGAAAAGCGUGGAAACAGAACUAUAUUUUGUGGUUCCCAGAGUGGUUUCUGCUUGUGAGUCUACUCUGGUAAGCUACAACUCCCUGUUAUUCACUUGUUUGUCUCUCUAAUUUUGGGGACAACAGUUUGCCCUGUGUCCUCAUCUCUCUUUUGCAUCCAAGAAGAGUUGUUGAUUUUGUACUCCACAUUUUUAUUUGUUGUCCAGACAAGAGUGGUGACCUCCAAGCUCCUUACACACAGAGCUAAAAACUAGAAGUUAGUUUAACUUUUUUCAUUGCCACGUUCAUAUGCUCAUGUUAUAAACAUUCUUACAUUCAGAAGAUAAAAAUAAAGAGAAUACACACUUCCCUUUUUCCAUACAUACACAAUACUUCCUCCCAUGGACUGUUCAUUAAUUCAGACUUCUGAAGUUUUCUUUAAUAUAUAUGCAAAUAUGUGACUAUCCUCUUGCUUUAUCUUGAAAAAUAUUCAUAGAAAAAUUAGUUGUCACAUUAAGAAAUUUUUGAUAAGAAUCCUUCUAAUAGCUAUUAGUUUUAAGUACUACAGAGAAUGACAUUAGAAAUAAUUUAGUUCAACUGUUUCAUUUUACCAUGAUGACACUUGAAUAGCAAAGGGGUUAAAUAUUGGUGCCAGUCAUAAAUGUGGUUAAUAAUGCAAUCCCUGUCUGUUGGCACGCAGGCUGAUGAUUUUCGUAGUUUUCUUCACUUCAUGGACGCAGGCUAUCUCAACCAAUCAGUAAAAUAAAACAUGGGACCCCACAGACUUUCAGGGUCUUAUGAAAAUUUUUUGAAAAUGUAGAUACUGAAAACAGUGUACUUGUGGUGUGUAUUUAUGCCCAUUUCCUAAAUUUUGAUGUUCUCAGAGUUUUAUCUUAUCUUUUUGAAACCAGUGCAAUUUAUCUAAAAUGUAAUGGUUUCUGGAAAUGUUCCUUUUUAAAUACAUUAAGAUAACGAAACCACUCACCAGAUUGAUGAUAGAGAUUAUUCCCAGUAGAAAUAGGGUAGGAGUGGGGGUUAGUAGUGAGUGUGUGUAUUGAAUAAUUAGGGCAUUGAUGAGUCAGUAAAACUGAUCAUUGGAAUCUCGUGAAAUGAAGUUUUUUUUCAGUAAAUUUCCCUAGAUUUAUCAGUCAUUAGAGUAGUAUGCUCAAGAGGUAAUUUAGACUGUUCUGCCUUCAUUAAGCAUUUUUUUUUAAUAGCAAGUGAUCCUUCUUGAAAUGACCUUCUCAGGUGAGGAGAAGAUUGUAGUUAUAGCAUCAUUAACAAUGCUUUUCUCUUCAGAAAAAAAUGUUUUGCAUGCAUGGAAGUUAAAUGUAAUUUUUAAAACAUUCAUCUUGCUCUAGAGGCAAACAGCAGAAAUUAAUUUCUCAUUUUUAUAUAGCUAAAAAUACCACAGAGCAUGGAAAAAUGGAUUUCUUUAACUGAAAGGAAAAAAAUUUGUAUGAGCAUGAAAUACCAAGAUGGUUUGAGAAUUCAUAAAAUGGUCCUGCCUUGAGCAUUAACAUCUUUCUUGGGCCUAGUCUAAUCUAUGAGAUGUGACAUGAUGCCCUUAGGUCAUUGUGAAUUCAUCCUAAUUCUUGAUUAAAAAGAAGAAACUUAUUCUCAUGGGUGCGAUCAUGACUUUUGCAACAAAUGCAACAUUGUCUUUUGCUGUUUAUUCCCUUCAAAAAUCCAGUGUGUUCAUUAAUCAAAACAUACAUAUUCUGAAGAAACCGAUUACACAACCCCCUAAAGGAAAGCCCUUUAAAGAAAUGCAGAGAUCCAAAGUGCCGAAGGACAAAUUGUCACUUCUUUCAAGUAGUACUUUAUGUAUUUCGUGGAUGAUUUCUACACAGACUAGGCCAUAGAAACCAGUGCGUAGAAAUGCUUCUGUUACAUGUUUAGGAUCUAUCUAUGUUUUUUGACGAUGAAUGAGAAAUUCUGGUUUGCUUUCAGAGUGGUACAGCAAUAUCCAUGUGGUCCAGAAAUAAGAUUCCAUGCUAAUUUUCUUGUUAUAAAUUUUGAAUUUUGCGUACUGAGAUUUUUUUGUCUAUGAAUUCUUUUAUAGCACCUGAAUGUUUUCCUUGAAAUGUAUAAAAUUUACACAUUUAGAUUUUCUGCAUUAAAAUGCCAUUGUGCAAGCUUUCUUACAAAAUAAAAAACAGAAAUCUACUAGCCCAUAAAAUGUUUAUCACCCUGACAUGUGUCAAAAGGAUAUAUUUGAUGGCUGUGAACCUGAGGAAGUACAGCAUUUUGCCUGUGCUGUGUCUCAUGUUUCAUCUUUAUUACGAUGAGAUGAGAUGGUUUCAUUUCAGUUAAUCCUAUUUCUUUUAGGACCUACAUCUAUGUUAAUUGUCAUGGCUAAUUAGCCUUACAGUAAAAGUAGGCAAACCAACAAAAGAAAUGCCCUUUCAAAGACAUGCUUUUUGACAAUGCAUUUUACUAUGCAGUAAUGUGGUUGGAAAGCAAAACAGUCUACUAACCAUUAAGUUCUUGUUUUAGAAUAGUCACAUAUUUUGUCAUUACUCAGUUUCUCAAACAUUGUGUAUGUCAUACAAGACAGGUUUUUAUUUGUCAGCAUUUAAUGUUGUUAGAAAAUAACCACAUCACAAGAGUUUACAUGUAAAAUAAAUUCUACUUUAAUAAGACUCUGAAUAAUAAUAAAAUUUAAAAAGCAAGAGUUGAAGUCAGCAUAAACAAUAUUUAGUGGACAAGUUCAUGCCCUGAGUAGCCUUUUCUGGGAUAGACAGUGUUCUUUUUCUUUUGUCCUAUAUUAUAAGGAGCAAAACAUCUGCAUGAAUAAUAAAUUACAUGUAUGUAUGCUGGAGUAAUUAGGACAGCAAUCUCACAAACUGCAUUAGGCUAGUAUUGUCCUUGACCCAGAGUCCUUAUGUGUGUAUGAAAACUUCAGUUGUGUAAGGUACAAUUAGAAAUGAAAGGUUUUUCUUUCUUUUGAGGUGGGAGGUGACAACCACUACAUUUAUUCUUUCUUUAGUUAUUUCUUCAACAUAUUUUUGUUGAGUGCUACCAGGCUAAGGUACAGAGGUGAACAACUCAGAAGCACUUUCUGUCAUCAUGGAGCUUGCAGACUACCAGGGUGAGAAUGGAGGACUAAAGAUAGGCAAAAAUGCAUAAUGCAUCACCUAGAGAACAUAACCCAAAAUGACUGAACCAGCAACUUAACACCGCUGCUAUCUUCAGUUAAGUACAUGCCAAGUAAGAUGAGAAAAGGCCUACAACAUCUCAUGGACAAGCUUUGGAGAGCAAAUAGGUUUUAAACGUGACCAUUCCAUGAAAGUCCCCAUCUAUAACCUCCAAAUGCAAGAGGGAACUAUGAGGUACCACUAUCAUGUCUCACAACACGAACCCAAGAAAUGAAAGCUAAUAAGAAAUCUCCCAAACCUGAGGGAGAACCAGGGAACAAAACUUGCAAGAGCACUAGAGCAGUGGCCUGAAUCCCGAGUUGUCUCUGGGUGCACCUGCCACUAUUGCAAUUCUUACUCUACUUACCAUCAAUUACUUCUGAAGACCAGCUACAUGUCAGGCAUUAUAAACAUAUCAUCUCUUUUAACCUUUAAAGAAUCCAUUUAGGAAAGGAGGAAACUGGGUCUCAGGAAGAUUAAGUGAUUCUCUUAAUGCCACAAAGCUAGUAAAGGAUCGGGCAACCACCGUGUCUCUGUCUCCGUAGAUUAUCAUGUCAUAAUUACCACAGGCUUACUCAGUUGGAGGAAGGAAAAUGGGACAUUAUUAGCAAGAUUUUUUUUUCCAUAGCAUGGUCUUGAAGACCUCUUACUGUGUUUUCUGAAGUGUUUUUCUUUCAAAAAAAAAUUUGUUAAACAAUUACACUUAAACGCAACAGUACAGCUGGCUUACUUUAAUGAAAGAAAAUAUAACAGGAAGUACAUUUUCUUCUCUUAAACUCAGGUAUUUUAAUAGUUGAGUUUUCUAAAAGUAAUUGUUAUACUAGUCUGUAAAAAAGAAUGAGUCAUUUAAGCAGCACAUUUUUUUAAAAAAGGUCGUUAUAAAUGGGCGCACAAUAUCACGUACAAUGAGUUUAUAGUGAACAUUUUUGUGUUCAGGCUGAAAAGGCUUCUUGCAAAGGCAAACAAUUCAGCAUUGACUUCUCUUUAAAUCUGCCUUUGGAGCUAUCACACAAACACUGUGGUGAGAACUCUGUUUCUGUUACUUACCAAGGCUUAAUGAAGCUUACUGCCAGGCACAUUUUGAAUAGAUCUACAUUGUGGCAGCUUCAAAGAAGGAGCCUUUGGUGUUAUAUUUCCUAAAGCUGAUGUUCUUGACCACAACGUGGUCAUUUUUGAGAUAAUGUGAUAAUCUGGCAGGUUCCCCAGGAGGACCAGUUAUUUUACUCAGACUCAUCAUAUUCUUCUCAACGCCUCUGCCUACUCUCUUGAUAUCUUAUAGAUAGAUGAUAACUAUCAUGGUGUAGACGGUUAAUGUAACUUUUCAACUAAUUAUGUGGGUAUUUUCCAGUCUUAGCACAGCAUUUUUUUUAACCUCAAGUUCUUCUUUUGAAGGCUUUGAAUAUGACCUUGAAGUGUCUUGAGAGAAAAAAAGACAGUAAUGCUUAGCUUCUGUUUUGUUUUCUUUUCUCCAAUGAAAAGAAUGGCUUUCAUACUGUAAAUGGUAGAAUAAACAUGACUGAGGGACAUCAAGGCACAAGAGAGAUGGAGCAGUGGUAAGAAAGCACCCACACCUAGAUUGUCAAUAAUGGCUAGUCUGUAAGCACAAGUGGAAGUGGAUUGCAUCUAUGGGUAGUGAAACAACAGUUGAUAUGAUUGGGAAACAAUUUUAGUGGUUUUACAAAGAUCACACAUUGGAGCAGUACAGGAGAUUGUAGAUUGGGUCAGCUUUGAUUCUUCCCAAAGCAGAUUCAGAGAUCAAAAUUUGGGUGCAAGUAGGUUUUUGGGAAGUGAUCCCAGAAAGCACAAGGUGGGAAUGAAGAAAUGAGCCUGGAAGGGAGGAAAGCAAAUGAAGCUGCAUCAAUUAGUGAAUUAUUCCUAUUGGAAGUUUGGCUCAUUUCAUCUAAGGUCCUUCUGAGAGACUAUAGAAUAUGUCUCAAAAUUGUCUCACAGAGGGAGAGUCAGCAGGGGUGCCUAUUGACCAAACUGAAUUCCUCAUUAGGAUGCCCUGGGAAAAAUCCUGGCCUGCUGACGUGUCUAGCAGGCUCCCUUGUGUCAGAGAAUGCCCUCUGGCAGAUAUGACAGAAGCGUGUGCAGGGACUAGGCAGUGACCUUCAGGGAAGGCUGAGGUGAUAUGGGUGGGGGUUCUGACUGCACCUGCCACAGAGUAAUAAAAGUGAACCUAAUUUUCAGAUAUGGAGAAAAUGUAAACUGUAGAACCUUUAUAUUCACGAAGUGAAUUUUAAUUUCCAGAAAAAAAGCCUAUUUUUUAAAUGUUAGGAAGAAAGCAAUCAACGAGUACACACAUACCAAAAAAAUGUCAAUAUAGCCUCAUUUAAGAAAAACACAUUAUUAGAGUUGUUUAUCAGAAACUUUGAUUUUAGAAGCACAUGUAAUCAACAUUUUUUCUAUAUCUUGUAGAUUAAAUGAAUGAAGCUGCAGAUAGGCAAAUUUAUAGGUAAUUGCUCAACAGGAUCUAGCAUGUUGAUGAAUGAUUACUUGUCAUUCAAAUUAAGUGUGUCUAGUCCUUUAAAGCCAAUUCAUUUUCUUUUGAAAAAUAUGAAAAUAUCUCAUACCCUUGCAUGGAUUUUGAUGUGUUACUUUAGUGGGGCCAUGUCUUCCCUCUUGGCUAUGAGUGUCUGUGGCCCACACGAAGGUUUAUAAUAGUAUCCUCAAAAGCUCUGUCCUGUCCUGUUUAUUUUUAUAAACGCUAUGGAUGAAGACAGGGAAGGCAAGUCUGUAAAUUUUCCAUCAGGGAUAAAUAGCUACUGUGGUAGGUGACACAGAUGGGUUCAGUAAAGCUCUCAACAGCCUGGAAUGAUUAACUGAAAUUAAUGAUUGGUUUUAUUAGGGUAGAAAUAUAAGCUCUUGCAUAUAGGUUAAAAAAAUAUGCCAGCUUUGAGACGAGGAGUACUUGGUUUACAAUAGUGUAUAAAGAAAAAUCUAGGGCUUUUAGUUCAUUGCAAGCUUAAAACAAGCCAAUUUAUUUAAGGGGCCAGAAACCCUAAAGCAAUUUCAGACUGAAGAUGUAAAAUCAUAUGUCCAGAACAACGAGGUUCUACUCUAUGUCUUACUAUUCAAUUGUAUUUAGUGGAUUGUGCUCCAUCCUGAAAGAUUAGCAUUUUAAGAAUCAGUGAGAAUAUUAGAGACCAUUUAGAUUCAUGCUUCUUUGCCUGGGUGCAUGUGCUCAUGGUAGUAUGCAAGGUAUGCCAGGUGUACCAGGAGACAUAGGAUAAAUAUGUCAAAACUUCCAUGAACACCGAUUUUGCUUGAGUAUUCAAGGAGGGAAAGCGGAUUAAAGUUACUAACAGGUUGAAUAGUUGGAAACUAUUGAAAAACAGUUUCAAAGUUAAAACACAUAUUAUAUUAUAAAGUAGAAUACAAAGACCAUAUAAAGUUCUAUGUUAAAAUAUGAGACUUCUGAAAAAUCUCCACUUGCAGAUGGUAAUUUUGAAAAUUGCUUUCAGAACUCUGGAAAUCAUGGGUUCUGUCUCUUCUGCAGGUACUUUAAUUCAACAAAUAUUUACUGAGUAUCUAGUCAGUGCUAGGCACUGGGCUAAGUGCUUGGGAUAUAUCAGUGAACAAAACUAAUACAGAGUCCUGGCUUCAUGGGAACUCAUAUUAUGAGUAGAAAAGUUCAAGAAGCACACCUUAUCCUUAAUUUUACAGAUGAAAAGGUGAGAAGGCAUAUAGCUAGUCCUAAGUUCUAUUCCUAGUUCAAUUGCUUGCUAACUGUAUAGUCUUGGGCAAUUAUUUCAUUUCUUUAAGACUCAGGUUUCUCAUCUGCACAGUAGUAGAGCAAGACCUAUCUAUUUCAUUAAUGGGAGUAGUAGAUGAGAUAACAUGGGCAAAGUAUUUAGGGAAGUGCCUGAUACAGAGUACACAUUCAACCGUUCAAUAAAUUAUGAUUAUUGUCAGAGAGGUCCAGUGACUUGCCUAAAUUCACACAGUUGCAGAACAACAGAUUUGUACUAAAACUCAGGUAUUCUGAUUCCCAUUUCUGAGCUCCUUGUAUGACAGUGUAAUCCUGGGUAUCAUACCUCAGAAAAUAAACAAGGCUUAUUUGUACUUUUUUCAUUACUAAAGUAAUUCAUGUGCGUUUGAAAAUUAGGAAAAUGCACAUAUGCAGAAAGUGAAACAAUAAAACAACAAAUGAAAAACAUUCAGCACAACCCUUCACAACAGUUUAAUUAAAAUUUUGGCACAAUCUAUCAGCCCUCUUUUUAAUAUAUAGUUUUGUUUUUAGCAGAGCUAUAUUCUAUCUAUUUGGAUUUCUAUUUUGAUUUUUUUGUACAUUUAUUAUUAAUAUAUAUACUUUCCCUUAUGUAAUAAGGAAGGUUUUUAUUCGUUCAAUAACAGCAUCCCAGUCUGUUGGGAGUAUGACAAUUUUUUAACCACUUUCUCCAUAGUCGACACUUAUGCUGUGCUAAUGAACAUCUGCGUCUGACUAGCUUUAUGGCCGUAUGAGUGCCUGUCUUCCCAACAGGCAAGGCCCAGGCUCUUGCAGAACAUGGUUCUGCCUUAUAUAUUGGUGCUUCAGGAAACUCAGGCCUGAUCCUUUAAUUCACCCUUUAAAACUUGCAUAAUCACUCAUGCUUUUCCCAGGCAAAGAUCUUUCUUUUGGGAUGUGUUUUUUUUUUUUAACCUGAUCCCCCUUUUCUUGGAAGUUUCUCUGGAUAGCCCCUUUGGCUCCCAAAUCACCUCCAUUCUACGAUAUUCUGUCUUGAUCUCCUUUGCUCCUCACUUCACAAUCACAGAUCUAUCGUGUCUAUCCUGGUUCUCUUGCUUCUCACGGGAUCCGUUGGUGGAGUGGCUGAAUGAGUGUUUAAUGUUAAUGUUUUAUAUGUUUGUGUGUAUGUGUGUGUGUGUGUCUGUAUGUACAUUUAUGUGUGCAUGUUGAACUGUAGUUUCAGACUAUAGUCCUGAAAAAUUCUAGAACACUUUGAGCUUUAUGGAUUGUUAGACUAUGCAAGAAAUUAUCUGUGUGAGUUGUGUUUGGGUUAGGUAUUAAAAAUAUAUAUUGCUAGAGGUGUUUGUUGGAGGAAGUUUUAUACAAUGGAAAAACAUGCCCUACCAUGCGGAUACAUACUGUACACAAAAAGAUGAUCAAUCCAGAUCUUCGCUAAUACAAAGAAAAUAUGACCCAUAGCACUUGACUCUGUAGGUCAGAAAUUGAAACAGAUAUUCCCAUAAAACUCUGGAGAAUGAUGAAGGCCUCGGGGAAGCAAGUCUACACUGUUUCUCUUUCCAGUGCUUUCUCGAAUAAGUGUAAAACAUUAGUGAGGCUUCAUCUGAAGGUCAGAAAGUUUACACAGUUGGAGUUAUAUGAGUAUCAGGCUUUCUGAAUUAAGAUUCAGAAUUCAUAUCUAAAAUUUGAGGCUGUGCACUGUUCCACAUGACUGAUUUUUUUUCUGAUACAUAAGAUAUUAUUUUCCAGUAUAAUUAAUGUCAAUCUACUGACAUCAGUGAAAUGCACAUGAAAUUCUAAAUGAAUGUGCCAUUAGAUGUAACUCUUAGUUGUUACCUAAAGUCAGGGAGCAACACCAAAAACAGAAAUAACCUUCCUUUAUACCAGGAACUGUCAAUACAGCAUAUUUUUAACAUGAUGAGCUGUAGAGGGAAAAUAUUCGUGUAUUCUUCAAGAUCAAAUGUUCAUAAAUCUGGAGACCAAGAAUUAUUCACAUUUUGAGUUUUUGUAGAAUUCUGCUAAGUAAGGUAUUAGAGUACUCCAUGAUCACUCAGCAAACUAGUACUGGUAUUGAUUUCUAAUUUUGUCCAAUUUCCUUUAAAACUUUCUCUUUGAUAUUUUUGUAGCUCUAGCACCCUUGAACACAUGAUUGAGGUAGUUUUGGCCUCACAGAUGGAACAGCUUGAUGCUUGCUCAAAAAGUGGACUCUUUAGUAUGGUUAUUUGGAUGAUGGUUUUGAUUCGGAGAGUCAAAAGCCAUGGUAUGUGAGGGGAGUGCAUUCUUCAUGAAGAGAGGCCAUCUUCUGCAUUCUCCUUCCUGUGGCUGAAGAGUGGGGCACUCAACUUGUUGCUUUCUGUCAAGGCUACAAGCCAGGAUACUACACUUAAUUGACAUAUCUUCUUAAACGCCUCUGAUUUGUGACGGUUUCUCAGUCUUUCCUGCUUUUCAUGACCUUGAUGCCUUUGAAGAGAAGUGGUGAGAUGUUUUUCAGAUUUUCUCUCAGUUGUCUCAACUGUGAUUUGUCUGAUGUUUUUCUCAUCAUUAGGCAGGUGUGAUGCGUUUCACAGAACAACACUACAGAGGUUUAGUGCCAUUCUCAUCUUAUUGUAUCAGGAGGUACAUGAUAGCAACAAGAUUCAUUGCUGGUGAUCUUAACCAUAAUUACUUGGUUAAGGCAAUGUUUUCCAGGUUUCUCAAACACCCUGACAACAAAGCCUAUCUUCUUAGCUGUUUAUCUGAGACUUGAAUCUUCUAAUUUCUUACCUUAGGAAUUCUCCAUUUAGUCAUUUAGUAGAAAGUGAGUAAUAUAGAAUUUUCUUCCUAGACAAAUCGUUCUGAUGACAGGAGAGGGAUGGGCUUACUCUCUGUGCUACCUUGGUUUACUGGAAACAUGGUCACUUGAUUCAUUCCUGACUCCUAUCAAUUCCUCCUGUGCCCAAUAAUCCAUUUUGGUUCAUUCUCUGAAGAAAAGAAUGCAAUCAAAAUCUAAUUCUCACAAUAUCACUUGGAUGUCUAAAAAUACUGAGUUAAAGAGAUAGUAGAAUUUGAUUAUAUAAAAAAAUUUGUACACCAAAGUGUUAAUUUCCUUAAUAGAGAACUACUAUAAAUAUUUAAGAAAAAAUGGGCAAAUGGUAUGUUCAGAUAAUUUAUAGCAAAGAAAAUAUAAAUAAUGUCAAAUAUUUAAAAUGAUGCCAGUUUUCUCUUAAUAAGAUAAAUAUAAUCAAAAUUAUCAUGUGAUCACAUUUAAAAAUUAUUGGGGUAGCAAAGACCAGAAUGCUUGAUUACAAACUAUGUUGGCAAUGGUCUGGGAAAACAAACACUUCUCAUUGUUUCUGGGAAGGUAAAUCGGUAAACUCAGUACUGAGAGCAAUUGUACGUUGUCUCUCAUAAAUAGAAAUGCACUUUUUGAAUCCUUCAAGUCCACUUCUACAUUAGAACCUUAAUGUAUAUAAUAAACAGUAUAGAUAUGCCAGCAUAUGCAUAAAGUAAUUUAUGUAUAAGAAUAAUUUUUGUAGCAAGAGAUCAGUUAAAUAAAUUGUUGCAACAGCACAAAAUGAAAAGCUAAGCAGCUUUAUGUGUACCAGUAAGAAAACAUCUCCAGGAUAUUUCUUAAAGUUAAAAAUGAAAACAAAACCAAAAAGGAUAGAAUGGCAUGUAAGAUAGUUUACUGUUCGAAUUGGAAGUUAAGACUACCAUCUGGCCAAUCUGGGCUCCUCAUGCCUCUGAAUCAACAGGAAAAGAAGAGUUACUGUGCUGGGUAGGUUGAUUGAUCUGAAUACCAAGGGGAAAUUUGACUACUGCUCCACAACACUGGUAAGAAAGAGUAGGUCUGGAAUACAGAAGACACCUUAAGAUGUCUCUUAGUUUUACCAUGUCCUGUGAUUAAGGUCAAUGGGAAACUACAACAAUGCAAUCCAGUAAUGACUAUGAAUGACCAAAAUCCUUCAGAAAUGAAAGUUUGGAUCACUCCACGAUAUAAAGAAGCAUGACCAACUGAGGUGCUUGCUGAAGACAAAAGGAAUACAGAAUGGGUGAUGGAAGAAGGGAGUUAUAAAUACCAGUUACAACCACAUGAUCAUUUACAGAAAUGAGGAUUUUAAUUCCCAUGAGUAUUUACUCUUUAUUUUGCUAGGAAUAUAUCAGUAUAUAUAUGCAUAUAUAUGCACAUAUUUAUUUAUAGAGAUGUACUCCUUUCUUUUAUUUCCUUAUUAUGUUACAUUAUUGACUCUCUUUGGUCUCCAGCUUUCUGAUUGCAUAUCUUGGGAUUUGUCAUAAUGAAGCAAACGAAUUCCUUAUAAUAAAUCUGUUUCUAAUAUAUAUAUCCUAUUGGUCUAUAUGUUGG